rnacentral:misc_RNA from 1 species
GUGAACUAGGCAUAGUUAACGCUGAUCAUGAUGCCGCGGGUGGUACAUUUAUAUCUGAGGUUGCGAGCCCCUGUUCAAAAUUUGUGGAUUCCCCUGAGAUAAAGAAACAUGAUUCUUUUAUAGUUAGCCGUCUUCCCGAGGAGGAACAUGAAAUUGCUGCGGUCCAGUCCUUUUUCUAUUGUGAAACUGACGAGAACUCGACAACAAUGCUGGAUGUUUCAACUGAAGAGUUCACUCAAAACUUGUGUGCUUCUUGUGAUCUUGAAGCUCGUAUGCACACCCAAACAGUCCUCAGUAUGAAUGAUUUAAUGUCAAAGGGAAACUCUCAACCAGAAGAGGAUUUAUUAUUUGAAAAGGAUUCUUCAAAUGGUUUCAAG